UACGGAGGGUGCUAGCGUUGUUCGGAAUCACUGGGCGUAAAGCGCGUGUAGGCGGUCCGUUAAGUCUGAUGUGAAAGCCCGGGGCUCACCCCCGGAAGUGCAUUGGAAACUGACGAACUCGAGUCCCGGAGAGGAGGGUGGAAUUCCUGGUGUAGCGGUGAAAUGCGUAGAUAUCAGGAGGAACACCGGUGGCGAAGGCGGCCCUCUGGACGGUGACUGACGCUGAGACGCGAAAGCGUGGGGAGCAAACGGG
rnacentral:rRNA from 1 species